rnacentral:rRNA from 1 species
CCUACGGGUGUCAGCAGUGGGGAAUAUUGCACAAUGGGGGAAACCCUGAUGCAGCGACGCCGCGUGAGUGAAGGAGUAAUUCGUUAUGUAAAGCUCUAUCAGCAGGGAAGCAGAUAGCGGUCCCUUAGUAAAAAGCCCCGGCUCACUACAUGCCCGCGGCCGCGGUAAUCCGUAGGGGGCAAGCGUUAUCCGGAUUUACUGGGUGGAAAGGGGGGGUAGACGGCAAUGCAAGUCUGGAGUGAAAGGCGGGGGCGCAACCCCCGGAUUGCCAUGGAAACUGUACGGCUUGAGUGCAGGAGAGGUAAGUGGAAUUCCUAGUGUAGCGGUGAAAUGCAUAGAUAUGAGGAGGAACACC